UAUCAAUCGUGAUGGUCCUACCCAUUCCAGCUCCCUACAUACUGUAGAGGGAGAUAAGGUCCCUGUAGUACAUGUAAAGAGCAUGUUGGGAAAAGCAGUUUGGGUCCUUCCAGCCUCUGGAAAGGGCAGACCUCUCCGUGGAACUGUUUUUGCUCAGGGACCUGGCUCCACUUGGUGGGUGAUGCAGAAAGAUGGGGAUGUUCAAUGUGUACCACAAGGGAAUUUGAUGUUGGGGGAGUGCAGUCAGUAGUUCUAUGUAUAUGUAUUAAGCAUGAUAUAAUGAUGUAGAAUAAGGGGUGGAAUGUCAUGGUUUUGUAACUUUGCUAUUGGUAUUCCACAUCAUAACAUCAUGGACAAAAGAGAAGAACUGCGUAUCCCAGAGGACCUCACGGUCAGAGAAGGAAGACACAUCACGGAAGAUACGUCAUCUGGUUGCGCGCGGUGCUUCUUCACUUUCGCUUGCUGCCGGGAGAGGAGUGGGUGUGCUUUCCAAGCCGGGCGCCUUCAUCAAGUAGGGCUUUCGGUUUCAGAAACUCUCUCACUCUCUUUCUCUCUCUCUCUCUCUCUCUCUCACUCUUUCGCUCUCUCUCAUUUCAUUUGAUUUAUUAUCCUUACUCCCAAUUAGAUUGUAUUAUAUCAUGUCAUCUUGCAUUCCAACAUCGUAGUUAGUAAAAUAAGUUCUUCUUAGAUGGUUGCCGCUGCUCCGUUUUGACAAAUUAUAAUAUACAGGAUAACUAACUAACCCAAUGACCCCUACCCUGCUUGUUUAACAUCUACGCAACUACUCAAAGCUUUUACCCAAUGGUUUCAUGACUAUGAAAGUAAAAGAACAUGGUGAAGGAGGAGAGUUAGUUAUAACAACCAUACAGAGUAAGACAUAUAGGACAUGGAUUUAAAUGAAAGUGGGGGCAGUAGCCUGUGGCAUUUCCCUAUUAUCUAUACUUCUUUCAUUCUUGCAAGCUUGUUAGACUAAUUCUUUUUAUUAAGAAUAAGUGGUGCUUCAAGAUGUUGUGGUAUUUAUAAAGCAGAGGCACAA
ensembl:lncRNA